GACGAACGCUGGCGGCGCGCCUAACACAUGCAAGUCGAGCGAUGAAAUUUUAACCGAUCUCUUCGGAGAGUAGAUAAAAUGGAUUAGCGGCGGACGGGUGAGUAACCCGUUAGAAACCUGCCUUUCACAAGGGGAUAGCCCCGGGAAACCGGGAUUAAUACCCUAUGACACAUCACCUUCGCAUGGAAGAUUUGUUAAAACUCCGAUGGGGAAAGAUGGUCUCUCGCCUGAUUAGUUAGUUGGCGGGGUAACGGCCCACCAAGGCCAUGAUCAGUAACCGGGAUGAGAGAGACGGCGGUGACAUCGAAGGUAGGCAGCAGUCCGGACUCCUACGGGAGGGAGCAAUGGCGAAUAGUGCACAAUGGAGGGAGUGCUGAAGGAGCGACGCCGGGAGAGCGAUGAAGGUUGUCAAGACGUAAAGCUCUGUUAUAUAGGCAGGUAAUGACGGUACCAAAGGAGGAAGCCCCGGCUAACUACGUG
rnacentral:rRNA from 1 species